GAAAAAUCAGCGGGGAAAGAAGACCCUGUUGAGUUUGACUCCAGUCUGGCAUUGUUCGGAGACAUGCCGGGGCGUAGCAUAAGUGGGAGGCGCGGAUCACGCGGCCGGCGUCGAGAGGCGUUGGUCGUGCCGCGGCGGCUUUGAAAUACCACUACUCGCAUCGUUUCCUUACUUACUCGGUGGUGCGGAACGCGUGCUGCGUGGUCCGUGGCGUUCGAGCGAGUCGGCGUUCGUUGCGCGCGCGUGCGCGUUCGAUCCUUCGCGGUCGUCGCGUUCGAGCGCGCGCGACGUCGGCUCUUCGUCGUCCGUAGUGACUCGCCGUAACGAUGAAUUCCCGGUCGAAUUAAGCGCGACCAGGGCGGCGGCCGUUCGCGCGGUCGUCGUCCGUUCGGUCGCGCGAUCCGAUUCGAGGACACCGCCAGGUGGGGAGUUUGACUGGGGCGGUACAUCUGUCAAAGAAUAACGCAGGUGUCCUAAGGCCAGCUCAGCGAGGACGGAAACCUCGCGUAGAGCAAAAGGGCAAAAGCUGGCUUGAUCUCGGACGCUCAGUACGCGUAGAGACUGCGAAAGCAUCGGCCUAUCGAUCCUCUCGUCCCGAGCUGAAGAGUUUUCAGCGAGAGGUGUCAGAAAAAUUACCACAGGGAUAACU
rnacentral:rRNA from 1 species